GUGCAACCGAGGGCCGGGCGGCACUGGACAUCGUGCACCCGGUUCGAGUCGACGCGGGGGGCUCCUUCCUGUCCUACGAGCUGUGGCCCCGCGCACUGCGCAAGCGGGAUGUAUCUGUGCGCCGAGACGCGCCCGCCUUCUACGAGCUACAAUACCGCGGGCGCGAGCUGCGCUUCAACCUGACCGCCAAUCAGCACCUGCUGGCGCCCGGCUUUGUGAGCGAGACGCGGCGGCGCGGCGGCCUGGGCCGCGCGCACAUCCGGGCCCACACCCCGGCUUGCCACCUGCUUGGCGAGGUGCAGGACCCUGAGCUCGAGGGUGGCCUGGCGGCCAUCAGCGCCUGCGACGGCCUGAAAGGUGUGUUCCAGCUCUCCAACGAGGACUACUUCAUUCAGCCCCUGGACAGUGCCCCGGCCCGGCCUGGCCAUGCCCAGCCCCAUGUGGUGUACAAGCGUCAGGCCCCGGAGAGGCUGGCACAGCGGGGUGAUUCCAGUGCUCCAAGCACCUGUGGAGUGCAAGUGUACCCAGAGCUGGAGCCUCGACGGGAGCGUUGGGAGCAGCGGCAGCAGUGGCGGCGGCCACGGCUGAGGCGUCUACACCAGCGGUCGGUCAGCAAAGAGAAGUGGGUGGAGACCCUGGUGGUAGCUGAUGCCAAAAUGGUGGAGUACCACGGACAGCCACAGGUUGAGAGCUAUGUGCUGACCAUCAUGAACAUGGUGGCUGGCCUGUUUCAUGACCCCAGCAUUGGGAACCCCAUCCACAUCACCAUUGUGCGCCUGGUCCUGCUGGAAGAUGAGGAGGAGGACCUAAAGAUCACGCACCAUGCAGACAACACCCUGAAGAGCUUCUGCAAGUGGCAGAAAAGCAUCAACAUGAAGGGGGACGCCCAUCCCCUGCACCAUGACACCGCCAUCCUGCUCACCAGGAAGGACCUGUGUGCAGCCAUGAACCGGCCCUGUGAGACCCUGGGACUGUCCCAUGUGGCGGGCAUGUGCCAGCCGCACCGCAGCUGCAGCAUCAACGAGGACACGGGCCUGCCGCUGGCCUUCACUGUAGCCCACGAGCUCGGGCACAGUUUUGGCAUUCAGCAUGACGGAAGCGGCAAUGACUGUGAGCCCGUUGGGAAACGACCUUUCAUCAUGUCUCCACAGCUCCUGUACGACGCCGCUCCCCUCACCUGGUCCCGCUGCAGCCGCCAGUAUAUCACCAGGUUCCUUGACCGUGGGUGGGGCCUGUGCCUGGACGACCCUCCUGCCAAGGACAUUAUCGACUUCCCCUCGGUGCCACCUGGCGUCCUCUAUGAUGUGAGCCACCAGUGCCGCCUCCAGUACGGGGCCUACUCUGCCUUCUGCGAGGACAUGGAUGUGAGUGGGGCUGGGUGGUGUGGGGACCGGCAGGAGGGCUAGGGGCAGCUCUCACCAGCCCGUGGAUGCCAGCCUGGGAGCAACUCUCCUGGCUGGGCUGCGCCCCCGAGUGACACUGUGAGACGUCAAGUGGCCUGUGGGAGAGGCCAGGGAUGGGCGGCCACAGACCCAGCUCUGAAUUCUGGGUCAACCAUGGACCAACUGUGACCCUUCGGACAAGUCCCUUCCCCUCUCUGGAGCUGGCUCAUAAGAGGGAAAAGGAACCCCUGUGGAGAGGGUCUGUUUAUCCUGGCGAAGAUCGCCUGAAGUGAUCUUCUAACAGGAGUGUUUCCAGAGGAGGGGCUGGGCCGGGAGAGGUGUGGACAGCUGGGGACCGCUCUGAGCAGUGCAGCCCCGGGCGCCCCACACCACCACAUGGUCCUGGGAGGAAGGUGGGAGCAGACACACAAGAAGGAACCUCUGGGGGUCUGUGGGCCCCUGCCAUGUGGAGGGGUGCCGAGGGGACCCUUGGGGACAGGGAGGGGGACAGGGUGGGUGGCGGCACUGGGGAGGGUGUGAGGGUAUGGCCCAUGCCCUCCUCCUCGCAGAAUGUCUGCCACACACUCUGGUGCUCUGUGGGGACCACCUGUCACUCCAAGCUGGAUGCAGCCGUGGACGGCACCCGGUGUGGGGAGAAUAAGGUAGGGGGUGCCCCCAGUCCCGGCAGUGGGUGUGUGAGAGGCCAGACUUCCUGCUGUGACCAGGCCCUGGGGUCAGCCCCGGCUCACAGUCUUGCUUGUGCUCCUAGCAGAGCCCCACGCUCUCUGCAGCCCAAGCCCCCAUCUGCAAAGUGGAGGCAUUGGGGCCAGGGCUUGAUUCCAUGAUUCCCCAGGGUGUCUUCAACUGAGUCAGCACGUGGGCUGUUUUACUCCCCGCUCAGCUCCUCCAUGUGGCCUGGGUCACAGAUUAUUGUGAUGAUUGUGAGGGUGCCUCUCUCACCUUCCAUCCUUCCCCUCUGUGCCUUUCGCAGCCUUCCCGCCCACCUUGUUCUCACUAGGGUGAGGAUGACUGAUAGGCUUGGGGGUGGGGUGGCUCUACCUCCGUCUGUCUCAGUAGUGGUGUCUCAAUGGGGAGUGCGUACCUGUGGGCUUCCGGCCCGAGGCUGUGGAUGGUGGCUGGUCUGGCUGGAGCGCCUGGUCCAUCUGCUCACGGAGCUGUGGCGUGGGCGUACAGAGCGCCGAGCGGCAGUGCACGCAGCCUACGCCCAAAUACAAAGGCAGAUACUGUGUGGGUGAGCGGAAGCGCUUCCGCCUCUGCAACCUGCAGGCCUGCCCUGCUGGCCACCCCUCCUUCCGCCACGUCCAGUGCAGCCACUUUGACGCUAUGCUCUACAAGGGCCAGCUGCACACAUGGGUGCCCGUGGUCAAUGACGUGAACCCCUGCGAGCUGCACUGCCGGCCCGCGAAUGAGUACUUUGCCGAGAAGCUGCGGGACGCCGUGGUCGAUGGCACCCCCUGCUACCAGGUCCGAGCCAGCCGGGACCUCUGCAUCAACGGCAUCUGUAAGAACGUGGGCUGUGACUUCGAGAUUGACUCCGGCGCUAUGGAGGACCGCUGUGGCGUGUGCCACGGCAACGGCUCCACCUGCCACACCGUGAGCGGGACCUUCGAGGAGGCCGAGGGCCUGGGGUAUGUGGACGUGGGGCUGAUCCCAGCCGGCGCACGCGAGAUCCGCAUCCAGGAGGUUGCCGAGGCUGCCAACUUCCUGGCACUGCGGAGCGAGGACCCGGAGAAGUACUUCCUCAAUGGUGGCUGGACCAUCCAGUGGAACGGGGACUACCAGGUGGCAGGGACCACCUUCACAUACGCACGCAGGGGCAACUGGGAGAACCUCACGUCCCCGGGUCCCACCAAGGAGCCUGUCUGGAUCCAGGUGCCUGCCUCCCGAGGCCCAGGCGGGGGGAGCAGAGGUGGAGUCCCCAGGCCCAGCACCCUAAAUGGCAGGUCUUGUCCUGGAGGAGUGAGCCCUGGUUCAGUCACAGAGCCUGGCUCUGAGCCAGGCCCUCCUGCUGCGGCCUCUACCUCAGUUUCCCCAUCUUUAAAAUGGCCCAAUCUUGUAGCUGCAGUUCACAGAGGUGGCUGGGGUCAGCUCCUUUAGGACUGGGUGGAUGGAGAAGACACCUCGUGCUCACAGGCCCCCGCCUGCCCACCCAGCUGCUGUUCCAGGAGAGCAACCCCGGGGUGCACUACGAGUACACCAUCCACAAGGAGGCAGGUGGCCACGACGAGGUCCCACCGCCCGAGUUCUCCUGGCAUUAUGGGCCCUGGACCAAGUGCACAGUCACCUGUGGCAGAGGUGAGAAGUGGGGCAGGCACAGCCCCACCAGCAGGGGCUUAGUGUCUGGACAGGGACGCUGGCUUCAGCUCCCAGCUCACUGCUGGGCCACCACGGGUUUGGAAGUUUGCUUCUCUGAGCCUCAGUUCUCCAUCUGUGAGAUGAGGCUAGCGAUUGCCCUGUGUCCCAGGCCCGCUGGGAGGGUACAUGGAUGAGGCAGGUGGGUGCUGGCUCGCGGCGUGUGCUCAGUGUGCUCCAGCUCUUGGCGUUCUCCCUCCAGGGGACACAGCUCCCCCUCGAUAGACCAGUCCAGUGGCCCCUCACCACACUGACUUAUUUCCCUAAACUAUUUAUAAAAAGUAGGGCAAUUUCAUUAACUCUGACUCUUCCUCCCCAAAUUUCCCUCUCUCCCCAUGCUCCUCAGUCCCCUCUCUCUCUGUCUCCUCCCCACUGCUCCUCAGUCUCCCCUCUGCCCCUCCGUCUCCUCCCAUACUCCUCAGUCUCCCCCCAUGCCUCUCAGUCUCCCCCCAUAGCCCUC
rnacentral:sRNA from 1 species